GGACGAACGCUGGCGGCGUGCUUAACCCCUGCAAGUCGAACGGAAAGGCCCUGCUUUUGUGGGGUGCUCGAGUGGCGAACGGGUGAGUAACACGUGAGUAACCUGCCCUUGACUUUGGGAUAACUUCAGGAAACUGGGGCUAAUACCGGAUAGGAGCUCCUGCUGCAUGGUGGGGGUUGGAAAGUUUCGGCGGUUGGGGAUGGACUCGCGGCUUAUCAGCUUGUUGGUGGGGUAGUGGCUUACCAAGGCUUUGACGGGUAGCCGGCCUGAGAGGGUGACCGGCCACAUUGGGACUGAGAUACGGCCCAGACUCCUACGGGAGGCAGCAGUGGGGAAUAUUGCACAAUGGGCGGAAGCCUGAUGCAGCAACGCCGCGUGCGGGAUGACGGCCUUCGGGUUGUAAACCGCUUUCGCCUGUGACGAAGCGUGAGUGACGGUAAUGGGUAAAGAAGCACCGGCUAACUACGUG
rnacentral:rRNA from 1 species